rnacentral:rRNA from 1 species
UACGGAGGAUCCGAGCGUUAUCCGGAUUUAUUGGGUUUAAAGGGUGCGCAGGCGGGAGAUUAAGUCGGCGGUGAAAUUUUGCAGCUCAACUGUAAAAGUGCCUUCGAAACUGGUUUCCUUGAGUGUAGAUGAAGUAGGCGGAAUUUGUGGUGUAGCGGUGAAAUGCAUAGAUAUCACGAGGAACUCCGAUUGCGCAGGCAGCUUACUAGACCAAUACUGACGCUCAUGCACGAAAGCGUGGGGAUCAAACAGGAUUAGAUA